rnacentral:tRNA from 2 species
GCCAAACUAGCUCAGUGGUAGAGCAGGGCUUUUGUAAAGCUCAGGUCGCAGGUUCAAAUCCUGUGUUUGGCU